GACCGCGUAGCUCAGUUGGAAGAGCAUUGGGCAAGUGUUCCAAAGGUCGUAGGUUCGAAUCCCACCGUGGCCG